rnacentral:lncRNA from 1 species
CUUUGGAGUAUGAACUCCACUGAGCCCACUGUCGUAAUAAAGGUUUUUCUCCACCUCUUCAAGUGACCAUCAGAUGCUCGAGUCUUCAAAUUGCAAUAGCUGUGAUGCUGAGCUGUGACACUCUGCUGUAACACUGAGCUCUAACACUUGGCUGUGCCUCAGAGCUGUAACACUUGGCUAUAGCACUGAGCUGUUCUGCUUUGCCACAACACCCAGAGCACUGGGAUUACAGGUGUAGCCCACAUUAGCUCAGAGGGAAUGUUGUAUAUUUUUGGGGGGUACCAGGGUUUGAACUCAGGACCUUGUGCUUGUGAGGCAGGCGGUGGAACCACUGAGCUAAAUCCCCAGCCUGGGAAUGUUGUAUUAAAUCAUCACUGCCAGACCAUCAGUUUUCUCUCUGAAGAUACACACCAGGUCAUGGAGCAGAAGCGGUAAACUCACAGAGGUGCUGAAUGACCAACAAGUGACAAGAACCUGUUGAUGUGAGUGUAACAAGGGCAGAAGUCAGUUGGAUCCAGACUACAAGUAGCAGAUUAUCCUGAGCUUCAUCAGAUGGUAACUCUAAUUGCAACUGCUGCCCUAGAUAAAAUUCUUUCCUGAAGAAAAUUAGUGCAGCCUCUGGUACCUGAUAGAGGUUACUGAGUCAGCAAUUUCUUUCCUCUAGCCCAGCGCACAGAGAACACGAAAGGCAGUGGGCGCUUAUCUGACACGGACUCAGCCCCGGCACAGUGUCCACACAGGAGGUCGUGUUUGGCACUGGGCUGGCAUUUCACGUGCAGAGCCCUUUGUCAUCGUCUCAUAACCCAUGGGGGUCAGCCUGGCCACCACCCUGACUUGACCUGCAGUCGGGAAGGACCAGGGAGAACAGAGCUGCUUUGUAUGUCCGGAAUCUUCCGAUCAGCACCUGUCUGGGUUGCUAUGUAUGUAUCCACGUUGACAGUUCAUGUACUGCAGUGUAUUUAUCACCUCCCUUUCGAAUUGAACUGAGAACUCUAAGCGCCUGAUUUAAACCAUCAGCUGGAGAGCUUGCUGAGGCAGGCACAGCUGAAAGGCUUGGGCUCUGUGGUUGCCGAGCAAGACCUGAGCAGUCAGUCGCCCCUUGAACUGUAGGGCUCUGCACCUUGCUUCCCUAUGCUCACCACUUGUGGUAUUUGGAACUGGAUAGAGCCAGAAAUUCCAAAAAGAAGCCACCUCAGCAAAAUCAACAAUCUGUUUUUCCUUGAAAAUUCAAAGACGCACUAGACAAAUGAGUCCCUCUGAAAAGCUGUCCUUUUGUAAAGGAAAAUGAUAUCUACAAAGAAAAAUGAUCACCAGACAAGGUACCGGGAAGAGAGGCUUCAGACAACUUCUACAGCCUGAAAGCCUUUCAUCUACAAAAAGCAAACUGCUUUAUCCACCGUCCAUUUCCUUCUCUCCCUCUUAUAAUUUGUCUCCAUCUGCCCCAGAAGCCCGGUGCUCUUCCUGCCCUCAGGAUGCUCUAUAAACCUCGGUCAUGGGACCUUUCUGUGUGUCUCAUACUUUGGUGGGAUUUCCAUGUGUGAGAAAGCAGUUACAAUGGUUUCUCUCCUAUGUCAGUUUAAACUGUAGCCAAAGACGCCAGGAGGGCAGAGAGAAGCCAAGGGUCCCUCUCCCCAAAGGCAAGGCGAUGGGGUGGGAACUUGGAGGGGCCAGAGGAAGGGCAGAGAACCUAGUGGGAGACACUGACCCCUGGCCCCAGACAGAGCCAAGCCUCCGAGGGACGAAGGCCACCUCCCGGUUUCCUGUGCAAGGUGCUAACUACAUGGGGAAGGUCACCACUUACCGGUCUGUGGGAGAGAAUCUAGGUCCGCAAGUUUGGUCUGGGUGAGGACGGGGAACUUGGACCACAGCAGAGUACAGCGAUGUACUGUAGCUGGCCCGGCCAUUGUACUUCUGUCUCCUAGAAGCCUAUAGCCACCUGAAGGAAGGUGAAGUGCUCUGUGGCUGCACAGCAUGAGCACCACUUCCUCUGAGACCCCAGUCAGGAGAGAGGUUCCACACAUCCCUGGGGGGAGCUCUUCCUGGAGCUGGGCAGAAAGGACAACAAACACGUUUCCACCAAGUAUCCAACGCCAUCAUAACCCCCUGACCACAUGGCCACAGGCGGCAAGUGUAGGCCACUCAGGAGCAUGGGGAGGACAGUGUGAGGGUUCCCAUGACCUCAGCCUGAUGCUGUCCACACUGGAGAAACAGCUCCCUCCGCUAAGUGAGCCCAGGCACCUGCUUUCUGGUACUGGAGGAACAGCUCUGGAGGCAUGCAAGGGAACAUGCUUCCAGAGCAGAUCUGCCGCUGGGCAUCUGACUGUCCCUGAACUACAGGGAGUCCAGAGGAACAGUGACGGUGAGGACAAGAACGAGGGGUCAGCAGCAGCUCCACUCCUGUUGUUCUUCACAGUUUACAGCUGGAGGGCACUCUUGGGCAUCCCCCUCCCUGCUGUGGCAUCUCCAACUCCUGCUUUUUCUCUUGUGAAAGUGGAGGCCGUUCUUGGCAAGUCUCUUUCUUUCUAGCUGAUAUUCUAGAGUCAACUUUGACGAUGCCUCUUCCUUCUCUUGCUUCAGCAAGCACAUUGUCUGCUUCCCCAUUGACAAAUCUCCAUCCGGCUCCUUCCCCCCUGCUGUGCCCACUAAACACACCAGGUUAGGAGUGAAGGGUGCAAGGAAAUGUGAGAUUCAGUCCCUGUGAUCAGGAUGUCACUGUGAGCUAACCAAUAUGUCAGGAUGGAAGGACCUCCACUAUUUUGGUAAAAUAGACUCAGUGUGUUGGUUGGAAAGUUUCGUUUCGGCUUGAUUUGAUUUGAUUUUUCCAUGAUCAACACUUUGAUGAGAUACUGCUCUUCUCAAACCUUUCUUUAACCACCAAAGACUCCCCCAAAAUCUCUGAUGUACACUUACAUACAAUAUCUUAGGUGCCCGGCUAAGGGCUUCAUAACAACGGGCUCCUGGGCUGAGGUGUAGCUCAGUGGUAGAGCACUUGCAGAGCGUGUAUGAGGCCUUGAGUUUGAUCUGUAGACACACACACACACACACAAAUAAUAAUAGUUCUUAUGAUAAAUACAGCUGAUAAAAUUUCCAGAAUGUUCUAAAUUUAAUCGCAAAGACCACAGGGUGGUAGUGGGUUAGUCAGCUAACAGCUGCUGGCAAAACCAACAAGAAGACUGCUUAUGUUUGAAUGGGAUUUAUGAUUUAAACACCAGGGCUUUAUUGCUGUACACAUAAACUCUCUGGACCAUUGAUACCAACCAAUCCAAGAGCAACAAGAAGAACUACUUCUCCUUCUCCUUCUCCUUCUUCUCCUCCUCCUCCUUCUUCUUUUCUUUGUUUUAGCUUUGGAGCUGGGGAUUGAACCCAGCAAGCUCACACAUGCUAAGUGCGUGUUCUACCCCGAGCUCCACCCGAGCCUGCUUGUCCUCAGUCCUCCUGUCCCUCCUGUGCCUGCUGCACCUGAUCCACCCCUCCUAUCUAGAAUCAGUGCAGGUUACUCUGUAGGAAGUGCUUUCCUUCUCCCAAGUUUAUUAAAAAUGCUCUGAGUUCUGGCCUGGUGACAUUUUCCAACUGCCACCUGGCCCUGCUGCUGGUAAUUGUGGAAACUCGUCCCAGGACCUGGUGCCUUUUCUGCCUAACAUCUCUAAUGGCUCAAGAAACUCUUUCAUUUCAGAGAUCCUUUGGUCUCUAGAGUUUCAACCUCACAUAUAAUUUUGAUAUGAUGUACAUUUCCUUAGCCAG